GGAAAAAGUUGCCACCAUUGGCAGAGAACUCAAGCUGAAUGGGAAAGAGCCAAUGGAAUCUCUUUUUUAGGUUAAAUUUCCAUUAUCACUGGAAUAAAGCUUCUUAAACUGUGGAUCAUGGCCCCAUAUGGAGUCAGGAUACAUGGAUAUGAUAGGAGCUUAUUGGAGGAGAAAUUG